CUUGGGCAAGGUUCCAGGCAGCAGCAGCUGGAUUCUGUCUCCAGCUAAGUUCACUUGGGAGACAGACUGAAGCUCUGGCUUCCGGCUCCAUGGAGUGCAGCUAUCAUGGGAUCAGUUGCCAACCUCACACCCUCACACCCCGCCGCCCAGCAGAUAGGAGGGAGUUCCUUCAGGUAACACUAGGAUCCCUGAACCGACCAGUGUGGCCAGGAGGAUGGGACCCACCGGGGAAGAGAGACGGGAAGCGAUGCUCCCAGGAGGAGGAAGAGACAACGAUCAGGCAGCAAAGCAGCCUCGCAAGAGAGCAGACAUGCCUUCCACGGUAGCAGACAGGGGGUUAGUUGGGUGCAGGGGCAGGAGGGUCUGUUGUCUGGGUAGAG